UACGUAGGGUGCAAGCGUUGUCCGGAAUUAUUGGGCGUAAAAGAGCUCGUAGGCGGUUUGUUGCGUCGGCUGUGAAAUCCCGAGGCUCAACCUCGGGUCUGCAGUCGAUACGAGCAAACUAGAGUGUUUGCAGGGGAGACUGGAAUUCCUGGUGUAGCGGUGAAAUGCGCAGAUAGUCAGGAGGAACACCGGUGGCGAAAGGCGGGGUCUCUGGGCGAACAA
rnacentral:rRNA from 1 species